rnacentral:tRNA from 2 species
AAAGUGGUGACCGAAUGGUUAGGUAGCACUCUGUAAAAGUGUGGUUUUGGCCAAUGUAGGUUCGAGCCCUACCCACUUCA